rnacentral:misc_RNA from 1 species
CGCGUUCGGUUGGAUCCGCUCUACCCAAUUCCAAAUCCGAUUCCGCGAGAUUUCUGGAGAACCCGGUUUGGUGCAAUUUGAACUCGAAACGCCUGCGUUAUUUUGGUUUCAAGAAAUUUAAUUUUCGGUUGUCAGUGCUAACUUUUUUAGUUUUUUAACAAAAACAUAAUUGUGAGAAAUCUAAAAACUUGUUUUAAAAUUUCUGUUGGAUUUACAUACGCUUUUGGAUUUUCCUCCCGGGCAGACCCCUGAAGGAUAAAAGACGACUCUAUCACGUGCCGAAGCUACAAGUUGUUGAGAAGUCGACAAGACCCGAAGACCCCAAAAAAAAGCCGUCAAAAACAGAAACAAACAAAAACCGCUGGCUGAGUUGGCCCGUUUAUCGAGUUGGCAUUUCAUUUACCUGACUCGCGUUACGUGGUGCGGUUCGGUGUUUCGGCGGUUCAGCGGUUCGUCUUCUGCCCGCCAAAAAGAAAGUCACGACACAAGAAACGAGAUUUCCAAGAUUCUGCAACGAAAGUCAAAGUUACAAGUUUACUCCAAAUUCAAGUUGGUUUUGUUUUUUUGGAGGCCCGGUUCAACGUCUUAAGGCCUUUUUGGACCGUCUGUGUGUGUAUUGUAUAUGUGUGUGUGUGGUGUGUGGUGUGUGCCACUUUAGAAAGUGAAAAUCGAGAGCAGUCUGGGGCGCUGCAGUUGAAAGUGAAUUUAUUUUUCUGGACGGGGGUCUCGAAUCGAUUGGAAAUUCAUCAGUAGCCCUAAAGAUUUCGGCUACUUGAAGCCCAUUACAUUUCAUUCAUCGGCAGGAGGGCCCGGCUAAGAAGUGCACCUCAGAGAUGGAGGCCGAAGAAGUUACAAAACUCGUCGAUGGCGUUUACCGGAAUAUACUCGAUAGAUUCAAUCCGGGUGCCAGGCAACUGAUCGCGGCGGGCAAAAGUUACCUCAAGGCGUUGCACGGUGCUGCAACCGCCUCGCGUCUAUUCAAUGAAGCAUUGGCCAAGAUUGCGAUGAACGCCCAACAGAGCGGAACGGGCGAUAUUGGUUCGGCUUUGAUGAGCGUUGUGAAUGUCAAUAAGGAAAUUCAGGAACAGCAAAUGAAUAUUCUAAAAGCCUUCUACGUGGAUCUAUUGGUGCCAUUGGAGACAAAUCUGGAGAAGGACACAAAGGUGGUGCAGCACGAGCAGAAGAAGUUCCUGCAGCAGCACAAGGUUCGCAUGGAGAGCUACCAGAAAGCCGUCUCCACAAUGAAGAAACAGCGCAAGAAAAAGGCCACACCCGAGAAUACCGAAAAGGAGCUGAGGAGCCUGCAAGUGCUGGAGGAUCAGAAGAAGAAACUGGAUGUGUUCUGUGAUCAGAGCUAUAAAAAUGCCAUGACACAGGAGCGACGUCGGUAUGGAUUCGUAUUGGAGCGCCAGUGCUCGAUCGCCAAACACUGGAUGGCUUACCACACCACCGGCAAGACGGUAAUUGAUAAUAAUUUCGAAAAUUGGCAAGAGAUCGCCGCAUCUCGUGAGAUCAUUCCCCCGGCUGCUUAUGAGAGCGGCUAUGGUAGCAGCAACGGUCACAAUACCAACACCAACAACAGCAGCAACAUGCGUCGCCUGGAACGAAUCAAGGACGGCGAUGAUGAUCCGAUCCAGGGCCUGGGAGCUCAGCUGAAGAAGUCGCGUAGUAUCGAUGCCCCCUAUGGGGAUAUGCGCACCCUCCACGAGCGCGAAAAUAUGGGUGGAGUUGGGUCGUCGCACUAUGCCCAGAAUUCGCUGCCACGUGCCAAGUCCGACUUUAAUCUGGCGCUGGUGGGCUCUGGCCCCAGUUCCGGUGGCAACAAACACAAGAUCAUUGAGGAGCAGUUGGCCACACUGGGCGACGACCAGCGAGGUGACCAGCGUCCACUGGUGAAGGCUCUUUACGCCUACAUGCCCUCCGGAGAGAAUCAGUUGUCCUUUGAGGAGGGAGACCGCAUCGCCCUGGUGGGAGGGAAGGCCAAGGGCUGGCAGUUUGGAGAGAAUCUGCGCACCCAGCAUUUUGGCUGGUUCCCGGUAGCCUACACCAAUGCCGAGUCCGUGGAGGCCAGCUCUUCUGCCGUCGGACGGCGGUACGAGAACAUGCUAAUGAGUUAUGAGCGAAAUGGAGGAGGAUCUGGAUCGGGUUCGGGCGGUGGGCUGCGCAGCUAUCAGUCGCAGCAGCAGCAGGACUACGAGGCUCAGCUGGAGCUGAUGGAGAACCACGAGGCCACCUACCGGCGGCGUCGCAACCACAGUGCCGAGGAAUCCUCACCCACUCGCAUGUUCGGGGACACAAUCAAGCAGCAGAAGAAGUACCGCUCCGGCUCCGGAGCCAAUCCGCGACCAGGACCCCCACCCACACUGCCCGCCCCCGUUCCCAAUGGACAGCAGUCAUCGUUCCGGGUGCUGAACAGUUCCCAGAGUUUCUGUGCCACCAAUGGAGGCGUCACAUCGGCGGUGGAGCGACGCAAGCAAAAGCUUCUAAACGGAGUCCAGAGCCAUCCGUCUGGCAAGUCCGGAGUGGCGGCCAAGACCUCGUUGCACAGCAGCAACGACAGUGGAUUCGCCAAUGAGCCACCCCCACAGCCGGAGGUGGACUACUCCGAUGAGGAGCCAGCGACCCAGAGGGUGCCCAUUCGCCGACGCGGCAUAUACCGCAACUACUCCAUAGAUUACUGACCAGUAGCCAGUCCGUGUAUCCCAGGUAGCCCCACCUUUCCCCGUAUUAGGUUGCAAUGCCACCACCCAGCCUCCCAGUUCGCCACGGUUAAGUUGCGCCACACAAAGACCAACGAUCGAUCCGCUCCGAUGAUCUACCGGAGUGUGAACAAGU